AAUGGGGGAAACCCUGACACAGCCAUGCCGCGUGUGUGAAGAAGGCCUUAGGGUUGUAAAGCACUUUCAGCAGGGAGGAAUAAGCCUGGUUAAUACCCAGGUCUAAUGACGUUACCUGCAGAAGAAGUACCGGCUAACUCCGUGCCAGCAGCCGCGGUAAUACGGAGGGUACAAACGUUAAUCGGAAUUACUGGGCGUAAAGCGCGCGUAGGUGGUUCGUUAAGUGGGAUGCGAAAGCCCCGGGCUCAACCUGGGAACUGCAUUCCAAACUGACAGACUAGAGUACGAUAGAGGGGGGUAGAAUUCGGAGUGUAGCGGUGAAAUGCGUAGAUAUUCCGAGGAAUACCGGUGGCGAAGGCGGCCCCCUGGAUUGAUACUGACACUGAGGUGCGAAAGCGUGGGGAGCAAACAGGAUU
rnacentral:rRNA from 1 species